rnacentral:misc_RNA from 1 species
UACGUAGGGGGCAAGCGUUGUCCGGAAUUAUUGGGCGUAAAGAGCUAGUAGGCGGUCUGUCGCGUCGGAUGUGAAAGCCCGGGGCUUAACCCCGGGUCUGCAUUCGAUACGGGCAGACUGGAGUGUGGUAGGGGAGAUCGGAAUUCCUGGUGUAGCGGUGAAAUGCGCAGAUAUCAGGAGGAUCACCGGUGGCGAAGGCGGAUCUCUGGGCCGAUACUGACGCUGAGGAGCGAAAGAGUGGGGAGCGAACAGG